rnacentral:misc_RNA from 1 species
AACGCACAUUGCGCCCCUUGGUAUUCCUUGGGGCAUGCCUGUUCGAGCGUCACUACAAACCCACUCAUAAAUAUUAUGGUAAUGGUGGAUGUGAAAGGAGGCUACUAGUAUGUCUCAGUCACCCCAUUGAAAUACAUAGGCAGGACAAUUAUCUUUAGCAAAGGACUUAGUAACUGUUAUGAAAACAUAUAUUAGUUUCUUGCUAGGAUUUGGACUGACUUCUAUGGAUCUCCAUUAAAGAUAAAUUCUGGGUUGACCUCGGAUCAGGUAGGGAUACCCGCUGAACUUAA